CCUACGGGAGGCAGCAGUGGGGAAUAUUGCACAAUGGGCGCAAGCCUGAUGCAGCAACGCCGCGUGAGGGACGACGGCCUUCGGGUUGUAAACCUCUUUAGUAGGGAAGAAGCGAAAGUGACGGUACCUGCAGAAAAAGCACCGGCUAACUACGUGCCAGCAGCCGCGGUAAUACGUAGGGUGCAAGCGUUAUCCGGAAUUAUUGGGCGUAAAGAGCUCGUAGGCGGUUUGUCGCGUCUGCUGUGAAAAACUGGAGGCUCAACCUCCAGCCUGCAGUGGGUACGGGCAGACUAGAGUGCGGUAGGGGAGAUUGGAAUUCCUGGUGUAGCGGUGGAAUGCGCAGAUAUCAGGAGGAACACCGAUGGCGAAGGCAGAUCUCUGGGCCGUAAACUGACGCUGAGGAGCGAAAGCAUGGGGAGCGAACAGGGUUUAGAUACCCUGGUAGUCCAUGCGUAACGUACGGUACGUAGAUAGUAGGUACGACUACUACGUUACGUUGUGUCGUCGNGCGUACGUACGACUUAACGUUACCCGUCCCGUCGGGUACGGUACGGGUCCGGCCGACGGACGUAAACCGUAACCUAACGUAAGUAAGUUAGUACGGUACGUCGAGACGUACGUCCGACCGGACCGACCGACCGACGGGAAGGGUUAAGGGAG
rnacentral:rRNA from 1 species